ensembl:lncRNA
UCCUUCCUCCCACAUCUCCACCCAUCCCCUCUCCACCCAAUAUUCACCACAUUUUCAUUUCUGACUGUCUUCCCCAGCAGCUAUUAGUGAUGAUGACUCAACGACAUGCUCCUGGUCCAGAAAGAAAGGGAGUGAUCCCUCUCGAUUCCGGUACAGAUUUGGGAGAAGGGGUUUCCUUUUUUCUAAAACCUCAAUGAGCUGCUGUUUCUACCUGGGGCAGCUGUUUGGCCAAGCAGAGGCACGGUGUUCACAGCGCAGAGUCUGGCUGCAAGCCCUGGAUUGCCUGGGUCACCAAACCCAAUUCUCUGAGUGGAAAAGGGAAGAAAGCCAGGGCAAUGGCACAUACCCAGAGCAGGGUGUGAGCCCAAGGAGCAGGUGUGGCUGUGCUUCUCUCUCUUACGGGACAAGCAGAGCACAGACAAGGCCCACCUGUGCAGGUAUCACCCCACCCCCCACUUUCUGCAAUGCCACUGUCUGGUGCUUUCCCAGGGAGAAAUUCAUCAUCAGGACAGCACGCCAGAAGCACCCAGAAGAGAGAUGUGUGUCACUUUGAGACGUUCUGCUGACCUUCACCUGUUUUCUGCAAAUGAGAAAGCAUUGUUUUGGGAGCCAUGCAAUUCCCUCCUAUUCUGCAGCUCUCCAACCACCUCAGCAUAAGGAGCUUUAAACAGAAAGAAACUUGCAUUGUAUCCCUGUUCCCUACUUAGAGUUAGGAUUUGCUCACCCCAUCUGCAUGUCUUAAGCAUUGCUGUCAGGGGCUGGAAAUUAAUCUUGAGGCAGAGCAUUCACUGACUCCAUUCAAGGGGAAUGCAACAGUGAAUAUGUCUUGUUUUUGCCAAGCUGGUUAUCCAUUUCUUAAAAAAUUCUUCUAGGACUGUAAUCAGUCAGGAACAGGAAAGCUGGGGUCCUGGUCUGCUCCUGAUCUCUGCCUAGCACUGGAGUUGGAGGAAACCUUGCAGCUCCUAUUCAAAUUUUACACUUGGAUGAUGUUUCUCUUGGCUUCGACUAUAAAGGCUGGUGCCCAGAGCCAAUCUUUGGCAAAGCAGAGAAGUUUGAAGCUUUUUUUCCCCCCUAGAAUAUUCCCAGUAUUCCUCUUAAACACUUUUGUCUUUAGUCCUCGCUGAGUUCUCAGACACUUCUUUCUUCCUGUACUGCAGCCACAUGUGAGCUCUGGAAGGAUCUGAGACAUAUAUUCUGUACAUGUAAGUGGUUGAUAAUAUGUAGAAGAGCACUUUGGAGAAGGGCACAGCAAC